rnacentral:other from 1 species
UCUCUGGGAUAGAGAGCCAUAGAUAGGAUAUCUAUUAGUCAGGAUGACAAUAUUCUAGGAUGGAAUAGGGAACUCUUCAAAACGAAGUCAGGAAUAACUUCUAAUGAAGCAAAGGACACCUCCCAGUGGAGAGAGAGUCAGUGUUGGAUAUGCUGAUGGGUCAGGGAUUACCGAAGAAUGACUUCUAGGAUGAAGUUAAGAUUUAUCUGGGGAUUUAAGUAUAUCAAGGAUUGAUAGCAGGGAGCACGACAGUAGCUGGAUUGCUGCAAAAGUAAUAUCUAAGGGCGUGACAAUAUUUAUUGUCGCGCCCAUUCUUUUUU